UACGAGGGGGCAAGCGUUGUUCGGAAUUAUUGGGCGUAAAGGGUGCGUAGGCGGUUUGGUAAGUCUGAUGUGAAAUCUAUGGGCUCAACUCAUAGUCUGCAUCGGAAACUGCCGGACUUGAGUAUGGGAGAGGUGAGUGGAAUUCCUGGUGUAGCGGUGAAAUGCGUAGAUAUCAGGAGGAACACCUGUGGCGAAAGCGGCUCACUGGACCAUAACUGACGCUGAUGCACGAAAGCUAGGGGAGCAAACAGGA
rnacentral:rRNA from 1 species